CCUACGGGUGGCUGCAGUAGGGAAUCUUCCGCAAUGGACGAAAGUCUGACGGAGCAACGCCGCGUGAGCGAAGAAGGUCUUCGGAUCGUAAAGCUCUGUUGUUAGGGAAGAACAAGUACCGGAGUAACUGUCGGUACCUUGACGGUACCUAACCAGAAAGCCACGGCUAACUACGUGCCAGCAGCCGCGGUAAUACGUAGGUGGCAAGCGUUGUCCGGAAUCAUUGGGCGUAAAGCGCGCGCAGGCGGUCCUUUAAGUCUGAUGUGAAAUCUUGCGGCUCAACCGUAAGCGGUCAUUGGAAACUGGGGGACUUGAGUGCAGGAGAGGAGAGUGGAAUUCCCAGUGUAGCGGUGAAAUGCGUAGAUAUUGGGAGGAACACCAGUUGCGAAGGCGGCUCUCUGGACUGUAACUGACGCUGAGGCACGAAAGCGUGGGGAGCGAACAGGAUUAGAUACCCUGGUAGUC
rnacentral:rRNA from 1 species